rnacentral:lncRNA from 1 species
GUUCCAAGGAACAGUUUUUUGGUCUCCUACACCCUUCAUCCCUUGAAGGGAUGAGUCCUUCAGAAUAGAAAGCAGUGGUUUGACUUAGAUAUGGUAUAUAAACUUAUACUUUUGUAAUGUGAUGUAUUUCUGAUUGCUGGAUAUUUGAUGAGAAAACAAAUGUAGGGAAGCACCUAAUUUUUUUUCAAUUGGAUGAUGAAAACUGAUAUGACAGCUUAUAAGUGGCCAAUUUAGAACAUGAAUAUAUUACAUCCCCCCUCAUUUAUAUAUAUACACACACACUAAAGCCAUCUUCUUUUUUAAUUCAGGCCAAACAUAACACUCUGUUCUCUAUGUGUCCCGUGCCACACACGUCUUUUCUGAAGCACACACCCUUGCUAAGCAGCUCUGGUUCUGUUUAAAUUAUAAUUACAAAGCCUUGCAUCAUUUUGUGUGUGUGUGUGUGUCAGUCCAUUUUAUACGUUUGCCAUCACUCUAGGUUUUUAAUGUUAACAGAACUUUGGAAAUGGCCCAAACCUCUGACAAGAUCUGCCCACUGUGACAUGUUUUACAGAUCACGCUGGCUGUGGAAAAAUUUCCAACCCGACCCUUACGCAGAAACAGUGUCUAUCUGGCCUGAAUAUGAUCAUGUGAUGCCAGGUGUGACAUCAUGCUACGUUGCUUCACCGCGUGACCUAGGAGCUCAAACAGAAGUCCAGAUAAGGAUGUGGCUGCUUGAAUACCCCUGUGUGUUUCCCAUAGUUUCCCAGACUGAAAAAAACCUCUGAGUCAAUGCCUGAGAAUGCAGAGCGGGCAUUGAAAACUACUGCAGUCUGCACAAAUGCCCUCUGUGUGACGAUAUAUGCAGAUAAUAUAAAAAAAAACAGCUUGAACCAUUCUUGCUGGUUUAGAGAUACAGCACAUACUUUUAAGGGAACAUACUGUGUUAAUUACAAGAUGUGACAUGCUGUCAGUAUCCAAAGAAAACCAUUUAAACGUCACCCUCAGUUUGAAAAAAACAAAUUGUGUUUACAUUAAUUUGGUUACAACUGAAUUCAGAAAUGUGCUGCUAGCAUUUUUGUUUAAGCGCUUGUAUUAGUUGUCCCAUGUAAAAUUAUAAAAUUUGUGCAUUGUUCAUUACUAACAAUACAGCUCCUCUGCAAACAUGGUCCUGCGGGGCCCAUGCUGGCUUUUUUGCG